GUUAGAUCAAUUAACUUAUUCCUUUAAUUUGUGAAAUCUAUUAAUUUGUGUAUAUUAAUCUUCAAGUCAUUCACUGAAUUCUCUGGUGGGUUCUUAAUUAAUUGUCCUGGGAUUUUCACAUGUACAAUUGUUUUAUCUCUAAGUCCUAACAACUUAACCUCUUCCUGACUCAUAUUUAAACCUGAAAAUUCCUUUUGUCUUUGUAUUUAAGAAACUCGGGGGAAAAGAAUUAGACAAUCAAAAAAAACUGGAAAAAAAAAGAAUUAGACAAUCACAUACUGGUAGGCAUUCAUGCCUCUUACUUAGAUUGUCUUACAUUUUAGGUGGUCUCCUAGUUUCUAAUAUUAUCAGUUUUCUUCUAUUCAUUAACACCUUCUAAUUUCAAAAACCCUUUGAGACAGCACACAUCCUCCAUCACUCCUCUGAGAGAGCACACAUCCUCCAUCACUCCUCUCAGAUGGCACACAUCUUCCAUCCACUCCUCUAAGAGAGCAUACAUCUAUCUACUCCUCGGUGAUAGCACACAUAUAUCCUCCAUCCACUCCUCUAAGAGAGCAUACAUCUUUUAUCUAUUGCUCUGAGAGAACACACGUCCUCCAUUCAUUCCUCUGAGAUGGCACACAUCCUCCAUCCACUCCUCUGAGAUGGCACACAUCCUCCAUCCACUCCUCUGAGAAAGCACAUAUCCUCCAUCACUCCUCUAAGAGAGCAGACAUCUUCUAUCUACUCAUCGGAGAUAGCACACACACAUCCUUCAUCUACUCCUCUGAGAUAGCAUACAUCUUUUAUCUACUGCUCUGAGAUACAUAGCCCAACUAUUUGCUCUCUCAAAGCUGUCCACCUUAUUCUUCUUCCUUUAGUUUCCUUUUCUUUUUCUAUUCACUGUUGCUUUCCAUCCAGCUUCUUGCCCCACCACUGGCAAAUGAGCUGCACUGGAAGGGACCAAGUUCCAGAGGACACAGUGGCACCAGUGUAAGGGAUAAUGACUAUGGUACCGCCCAAGCUUUCUUGGUGCCAGAUGUGGCAAUUCAUGUCCAGUGUCUGAAUGGUGUCCUCUGGAUUCCCUCCACAGCUCAAUUUGGUGCCUUGUCUUUGACUGCUGGACUGCAGUCUGGUUUGUUACUCCUCCCAUGGGUGACUCUUUACAUUCAAUGUCUAUUUUUAUUAAGCCAUUUUUGGUGUUGCUCUUGAGAUUACCAAUGUUUUCAAGUCAUUCUAAUUGAUCAUUCUUAAAACAUUCAAAUGUUUAAAUUUUAUAAUGCCACAUUUAAAUUUUUUGGAAAACCCUUGUCUCUUUUACUAAUAAAGCUUUUUUUUCCACAUAUAAUUCAAAUAUUUCCACGUCUGCGGGUAAAACUUUUUCUGUGGCAUGCUUGUGCUCAUAAGUGAUCUCGUAGACUUACAUGAUUGGAACUUUAUAAUAACUACCAUGGACUUCUUUCUUUCCAGCAUCUAAGUUCAACCAAUCAUUUUCAGAUUUGUUUGAGUAACUUUGGACCGAAUUUCUGAGUGAUCACAUGAUCUACCAUCACUUCUUACUUCAAUUCAUGUACUCACUUAACUAAUUCCUGAUCUAGUUAACUCAAUUCCCAGAGAGGAUUCCUACCCUGGGUGCUCAUGCUCUCUAUAGAAGUCAGGUAUAAAAGGUUAUAAUGGAAAAUUGAUGAUGCUCUUUCUCAGCUGAGAGUUCUUUAAAGGGUUGCUUCCCAUUACUGAUGGUUGAAACCCAAAAUGCUUGGUCUGACCUUUAAGAAUCUCGUUUGCCUAGUUCUUUUCUACCUCGCUAGUCUUUCAGUACAUUGCAUUAAGAAAUUGUUUUGAUUACUUUUUGUCUCUGCAGUAUCAUACUUGUAUAUAAUAUACUGUGAUUAACCACCCACAUCCACAUCCCCCCUCUUUCAUCUCCCCGAGCAAAUGGCAAUGGAAGGCUUUUGUAGCCAAGGAAGUCACGCUCUUCAUUAAUGGAGCCACUGUUGAGUGACUCAUACUCCAGUGAGCAGAUUCUUACACUCAUGCUCAUGAGAGAGGCCCUGGUUAAACCCAGUGAGUCACAAAGUGAAAGCAAACUUCCAGCCCAUGCAAUUGAGAUGAGAGCACAGUCAAGAACAGAGAUGGCCAGCAUAUGUUUCCACUCUUAACUUUUCAAACUAAUCAGACUCUUGGCUUCUACAUCAACCCUUUAUGAUAUGCACAUGUACAACAAGAUGUUGUUGUUGAUGAAGAGUUAAUGCCAAUGUACUCUAAAUGGUGUUAAGGUAAAUAAUGGUUCAUUAGUAAUCCCAUUUUAGGCCCACAUUAAUCUGGAUUUAUCAAUAGAAACCCUCUGCCAUCCUGUGUCUUUCUUUAUAGUUUAACAAAACUAAGACCAAGUAAUGAAUCACAUAAUUAUUCAUUUAAUAUCUGUCUUUCAGGCUAACCUGAAAGUCACUGAAGAGAAGGGUCUAUGUGUCUUAUUCAUGACUAGCAAAUGAAGCAUGGGCAGUCUAUAUUAAAUAUUGUUAAACACAUGAAGUGUCUCUUUUAUCAUAGAAUUUGAAAGAGUAGUUCUGUCAUUCAUUGCCAAUGGUUCUUCUAGGGGCAAAACAUUUACUAGUUCAGUACAGUUACUCUUCAUUAGGCAAAAAGGUCAGGUCCUCAAGGAUUUCUCUCACGUUAUUAAUUCAGAGAGAGAAAGGACUUUUAGUUUUUCUGGGUUCAUGAAUUUAAAGUAAAAUGUCUAUGGAUUUUUUGAGAACCUAAGAUGCUUCACUGUAAUUUAAGUCAUUGUGAAGAUGGAAUAGAAGUGUGGAGGCAAAUUUAAGUGUUAGACAGCAUUCCUGUGACCCGUCCGAAGCGAAGGGAACAAAGAAAAUUCAAGAACAAAGACAAAUCCUGAAAUGUAGUAGGUAAGGGGCCGCUUGUUCUUCCUGGCUACCUAGCUAACUUAGCCCCGAAAUAACCACACAGAAACUGUAUUCAUUAAAUCACUGCUUGGCCCAUUAGCUCUAACGUCUUAUUGGCUAACUCUUACAUCGUAAUUUAACCCAUUUCAAGUAAUCUGUGUAUUGGCACAUGGUUGUAGCUUGCCGGCAAGGUUCUGUGUCUGACUCUAGCUGUGGAUCCAUGACGUCUUGCUCUCUCUGCUUUCUUCCUCCCAGAAUUCAGUUCUGUCUUCCCUGCCUACCUAAGUUCUACCCUAUCAACAGGCCAAGGCAGUUUCCUUAUUCAUUAAUGAAAGCAACACAGAGACAGAAGGACCUCCCACACCACUGAGAUUUCCACAUAUCCAUUGAUCACAGCAAUGACAAUAUCUGUCAUUUACAUAUAUACAAAUAUAUACAUAUAUGUGCAAUAUUUACAUAUAUUUCAUGCCAAAACAAUAUUUUUCCACACCAAAUGGUAGCAGCUAAACAUGAAGUUACUGGUUCAGGAAACAAAUAGCAAUGAUGGCUUUGAGAACACGGCCAAUACCUCUCUAAUUUGUUCUAUUCAUGAAACCAGCUGCUUGGGCUUUAUAUUUUUAUAAGAGAAAGAUCCUAGGGCAGCUGAACUACUAACAAUCUGCUAUCUUUGAGUCUGGGUUGCAGGUUCUUAUAUAUUUUGAAAAUUCUAGCACUCAAAUGGUUAAUCUACCUUUAACACGUGAGUUGCACCAAUACUCUUUAUUCCUCUUCAGUUGCAGAGGCAAUAAUUACCUAUAGGUUAUGACUUGUAGGGGAGGUGGGAAAUGGUGUUCCCAGUAGUGAAUGUUUCGAUUACUUUAGAGAAGAAAGGGUUGCAAGUUAAAUUAAAAGGCAAAAGCUAGAUCAUCUAGAAGCAUCUUAAUAUGUUUCCAAGGAAUUUGAGGAAAAACAUGAACUCAGGCUAGCACAUGCAGGAUUGAGGAGAAAGAAAAAAAUCUGGGAUGAUCUGCAAAGGUCUCAAUUAUGCUCACAAUAGAUUGCACAGCUUUGUGAAACUGAAGUGGAAGUUCGCCAACACAAAAUCUCAGGAAUUAAACCUGGCAUACUGUUGAGAUUUUUAUCAAACAACUUGACCUAGGUCAGGAAUGUUGAAAGCCACUAGUGAGGGACAGUGAAAUAUAUAGACGUCGCUGAGUGCAUUUUUGAAAAAAUUGCCAUGAUGUCCAUGAAAAAGCAUACAAGCAAGAAUGUGGAUAAGAAAAUCGAGAUAUAUUAGAAGACAAACCCUAGAAGAUAAAGAGCAAUUCAACUCUGUUGACUGACAAGAAAGGAAGAACUUAGCCGGAAUUAGAUCUUAAAUCAGAAGUUUUUACUAAAAACCAAAGAGUCACACAGCGAGAAGGUAUGGAAGCUCUAAAGCUAAGUAGUUUUCAUAGAAGCAGAAUAGGAGAAUUAUAUAGCAUUCUAAUAGCAGUGUGGUUGUUCAAUGCAGGCUACAGAAGAGUGGUGUAGAAAUAGACUCAGCCCUAUUCUAGGAUGCCUGAGUUGAAGGAAAUGGAAAAUAAAGCAGAAGCUUUCUUUGGGGAUAGGAGACAUAAGAUCUCUUAAAUUUCUGAGACACUAAUUCAUGCUUCAUUUCAUUUUGAAGGGAAGGAAUAGUAAAGGCAAAGACAUGAGGAUGUUUGUUCCUAGUGGUGUGAUGGUCCUAAAGGGAUCAAAGUCAAAGAUGGCAUAGAGUAUGCUGGUAGGUAGAUGUGCUUAGAAACAAGCUGAAGUUUCUGCCCCUUUGAAUGCUUUUCAAAGGAAUAAAAGGAGGUGGAAGGUCCAGUAGCAUUAUCAUUGAUACAACAACUUUCAACAAUGAGUUAUACUUUUGCAUGUUAGUUCAACAGUGGAUCUUAUGUGGAUAAACUCAAAGUGGUAGGGCUGGAUUUCUUUUGGGUGGCCCUAGGAGUAAUACCUGUUUUGACUUUUUAGUCGUGCACUAUUUCUUGGUGCAUAUUCUCUUUCCUCUAUCUUCGAAGUAAGGACACAGCCUCUCUCUGAUCAUUCUAAGGCAUCAUCUUCUGUCUCUUGCUUUCUGUCUUCUUUGGCUUUAAAGGACAUUGUGAUUACACAGUACCCACCUGGAUAAUGCAGGGGCACCUCCCCAUUUGUAAAGUCAGCCAAUGGUAACCAGAAUUCCAUCCACAGAUCUUUCACCUUUGCCAUGUAACCUUCUGUGUUUCUAGGUUUAGAAGAUGGUGUGUUUCUAGGUUUUGAAGAUUGUCAAAUGAAUGAAGAUUGUUACCUGAAAUAAACUGAUGAGGUUUGCAAAAUGUAAAAAUAAAGAUGCAUACUGUUAUUAAUAA